rnacentral:rRNA from 1 species
GCAGUCGAACGCUGAAGCCUGGUGCUUGCACCGGGUGGAUGAGUGGCGAACGGGUGAGUAACACGUGAGUAACCUGCCCCUGACUUCGGGAUAAGCCCGGGAAACUGGGUCUAAUACCGGAUACGACUGCCGGACGCAUGUCUGGUGGUGGAAAGUUUUUUCGGUUGGGGAUGGGCUCGCGGCCUAUCAGUUUGUUGGUGAGGUAAUGGCUCACCAAGACGACGACGGGUAGCCGGCCUGAGAGGGCGACCGGCCACACUGGGACUGAGACACGGCCCAGACUCCUACGGGAGGCAGCAGUGGGGAAUAUUGCACAAUGGGGGAAACCCUGAUGCAGCGACGCAGCGUGCGGGAUGACGGCCUUCGGGUUGUAAACCGCUUUCAGCAGGGAAGAAGCGCAAGUGACGGUACCUGCAGAAGAAGUACCGGCUAACUACGUGCCAGCAGCCGCGGUAAUACGUAGGGUACGAGCGUUGUCCGGAAUUAUUGGGCGUAAAGAGCUCGUAGGUGGUUGGUCACGUCUGCUGUGGAAACGCAACGCUUAACGUUGCGCGUGCAGUGGGUACGGGCUGACUAGAGUGCAGUAGGGGAGUCUGGAAUUCCUGGUGUAGCGGUGAAAUGCGCAGAUAUCAGGAGGAACACCGGUGGCGAAGGCGGGACUCUGGGCUGUAACUGACACUGAGGAGCGAAAGCAUGGGGAGCGAACAGGAUUAGAUACCCUGGUAGUCCAUGCCGUAAACGUUGGGCACUAGGUGUGGGGGGCAUUCCACGUUCUCCGCGCCGUAGCUAACGCAUUAAGUGCCCCGCCUGGGGAGUACGGUCGCAAGGCUAAAACUCAAAGGAAUUGACGGGGGCCCGCACAAGCGGCGGAGCAUGCGGAUUAAUUCGAUGCAACGCGAAGAACCUUACCAAGGCUUGACAUACACCGGACCGUCCUGGAAACAGGUCUUCUUCUUUGAAGCUGGUGUACAGGUGGUGCAUGGUUGUCGUCAGCUCGUGUCGUGAGAUGUUGGGUUAAGUCCCGCAACGAGCGCAACCCUCGUUCUAUGUUGCCAGCAUGUGAUGGUGGGAACUCAUAGGAGACUGCCGGGGUCAACUCGGAGGAAGGUGGGGAUGACGUCAAAUCAUCAUGCCCUUUAUGUCUUGGGCUUCACGCAUGCUACAAUGGCUGGUACAGAGAGAGGCGAACCCGUGAGGGCAAGCGAAUCCCUUAAAGCCAGUCUCAGUUCGGAUCGUAGUCUGCAAUUCGACUACGUGAAGUCGGAGUCGCUAGUAAUCGCAGAUCAGCAAC